rnacentral:lncRNA from 1 species
UGAGAUCAAUCAGUGAUCAAAUCAAAGGUAAGUCCUUUCUAUAGCUCUCAGCGACCACAACAUAAUAACAUAUAACAAUGGGCAGAAGUAUACUACGUCAUACCAGAUUGAUAUCCAUGAUAUUUACCAACUCAAUCAUGACAGAAGUUGUACAGCUGAAUAAAUUCAAGGACAAGGAAAGAAGUAUGUGCAAUUAUAAAACACAAACAUACCAGUAGAGAUCUAUGACCAGGUUAUCUUACCUGCUGUCCAGAGACGUGUCCUUCACAGAUCAAAGUAAGUAUAUACAUAUCCACGAAUUUAAAAUAUAUGAAGCAGUUUAUUUUCCUUGCCAGUGGAUAAAAAUCAAUGCAAGCAACACAGUAUAUGUAAUAUCCCACAUUGGCCAAACAGAGAGGGGUUAUAUGCUGUAUAUGUACAUGCCCACCUCCAAUCUAACACGAGGCCUUUUGGUGGCUCAGCGGCUUCGGAGGGGAUGGGUACUCCGAGGUUAAGCAUGUCGAUGCGAGAGCAAUCCCAGGAUGAGUGACCUACUGGGAAGUUGCUCCUGAGCUGCCGGAAACAAAACCGUGAGGGCCGGUGGGCCUAAAGCGGACAGUAUCGUGUUACGACGGAGCGGGUCCUGGGAUGUGACAAAUGGUAUCAGAGCCACUCUGCCGUGUGGUGCGAGUGUGCCGACGAGGACGUCGGACUCCCAAGGGGGGUGGAUUGUAAUAUCCCACAUCGGCCAAACGGAGAGGGGUUAUGUGCUGUAUAUGUACAUGCCCACCUCCAAUCUAACACGAGGCCUUUUGGUGGCUCAGCGGCUUCGGAGGGGAUGGGUACUCCGAGGUUAAGCAUGUCGAUGCGAGAGCAAUCCCAGGAUGGGUGACCUACUGGGAAGUUGCUCCUGAGCUGCCGGAAACAAAACCGUGAGGGCCAGUGGGCCCAAAGCGGACAAUAUCGUGUUACGGCGGAGCGGGUCCUGGGAUGUGACAAAUUGGUCCCGGGAUGUGACAAAUGGUAUCAGAGCCACAUGCACAUGCCCACCACCAACCUAAUACGAGGCCUUUUGGUGGCUCAGCGGCUUCGGAGGGGAUGGGUACUCCGAGGUUAAGCAUGUUGAUGCUAGAGCAAUCCCAGGAUGGGUGACCUACUGGGAAGCUGCUCCUGAGCUGCCGGAAACAAAACCGUGAGGGCCGGUGGGCCCAAAGCGGACAAUAUCGUGUUACGGCGGAGCGGGUCCCGGGAUGUGACAGUAUAUGCAUGUCCUUUUAUUCAAGUAUCUAACAAUGAAGCUACUGCUUGAUAAUACCUUGUCAUCAAGCAUGUAACAUUUGAUAGCAACACACACACACACACACACACCCCCACACAUCUCAAGUCUGCAGACCACAGGUGCCAAAAUAACCAAAUUCUCAAAAAGUGAAUAGCAGGAUACUCGCAUGAUAUCUAAAAUUAUGUUCCAAACAAGCAGGACACCACCUUAAAGCUUAUUAAACAAUAUCUCACUGUGUUAUCAUGUACACUGUAAUUUUGCCUUGAAGAAAUCUUGAAGAUGCACGCAUGUAAAAACUUACCUCAAAGGCAGCCCAUAUGUAGCAUCAUAUAUGUGUCCAUAUCCUUCAUCUCUGUGAAACCAGUCUCCUCGUCUUUCACCUUCCUUUCCAUUUCAACUUAAUCUCUGUGAAAGAAACUUCACAUGACUAGAAUCCAUGAGUAGAACAAAUAUAUAUAACAUAUAUGAGUAGAAACCAUGUCUACAUGAUUCAUUUAAUUACUACUAGCCUUGAUGCCCGCGCUUCGCGCGUGCAAAAGGACAUCCAUUCAAAAACUUAUCGUUUGAAUCAAAAAUCAAACAAUCAACUAUUGGUAGUAGAGUUCAAGUCCUUAAUCAAAACCCAGAAACACAAAGGUCUAAGACAAAUAAAAAUAGGUAAAGAGUAGUCCAGAGGAUUCGUCAAAACUAUGUUGACAAAGUUUUAAUUUGAUUCAUCAUAGCAAAUUUCAUCACAGUAGCUACAGCUGUAUUGAUGACCGAGUGAUGAUAAGUGAGCAAAUCCCCUCUCAAUAUUGCUUUCUCAUUACGUGCUUUUAUUGGUCUUCAACAAAAGAGUAGUUAGAAGGAAAAGACAUGUAGAUUGGAUGCAAACAUCGAUAUUAACCAAAACACUGACAAAAAAAACUCGAAGAACCAAUUUCAUUCACUGAUUUCAACACAAACAACAUAUAUUGCAUAACACACAAAUCUCAUCAGCAAGUGAAAAUCGGUUCCCUCCUCAAUAAGUAUGCCAUUAGAAAUCACAUAACUAAAGUAAGGUUUGGCAAGUAAUUGUAUGUAGCAGUAAUAGUUACACCCAAUCACACAAAACACAAAAAGAUUAGCUAUACACAUGAAAACCAACUAAACAGAUUAGCUAUGUAACAUCCACAGAAAUGGAACACAACACACACAAUAACCUACAAACCCAACCUAAAUUCCAAACCACCCGCAGAUACAUCCACAUACACACACUCAUAUGCACCACCUGGAAUUGCAUGCACUGAAAUUUAAAACUCAAAUCGCACUCAAGAUUCAAUCUUACCUAAAGCUUAAUCUCUCAGAAACGUCUAAUUACUCGAUCGGAUCCUCCGAUUUCAACUUCUUUCCUUUCUUCCUUUGCACUCUUCGCUCCGUGUGCACCUUUCAAAUAAGCCGAGCUCGCCCGACAACGAAGAGAAGUAAAAUUUCAGCCUCAUACUGUAUUUCCGCCACCUUUAGUGAUCUUUCACAUAAGACAAAUUGAUGGCUACUCAGCACAUACAUGAGCAUGUUGUUUGCAAGAGUCAGCUAAAUCCCAAUUAGGUAGUAUUUCUCUAGUUCAGCAAUUAUUCAAAAAAGUUUAAACCUAUGAAACAAAUUAAUUGAAAUGGUCAGAUAAUAUUGAUGCAACAGUAUACUCUACAUACUUCAUUGAUACUGAUUUCCAUUGAUGCAACAGUACAUAUUUGUAUAAUCCAAAUUUAUUAAGCUGACAAUACAACAAUUGGAAUUAUGAAUUGAAAGAGGGUGGCACUGAUGUCUAUUGUCUUACUCUUCUUCCUCUUCUUUCUCUGUGUCUCUCAGUGAAAAACAAAACAGAAGGAUUAAACCGAAACAGGUGGCAGCGGUAGAGAACGACAACACAGAAGGACAGAACUGAAAUAACGAUGCAAAUAGAGGGGCAUGACUCAUAAGGGUUGGGUACUGUUCCGUGAACAGUANNNNNNNNNNNNNNNNNNNNAUAUAUAUAUAUAUAUAUAUAUAUAUAUAUAUAUAUAUAUAACUUACCUUAUGAACCGUCAGAGUAUUACAUUUACACAUUGUGUAAAGCUACAUAAUUUGCUCUCACACUUGAAGUAAUAAAGUGCAAUAUAAAUAAAUUUAUUUUAUCAAGUAUACAAUUCAAGUUUCUAAGCUAGCAAACUGAAGAUAUGAAUCGAAAGAGUAAUGCUAGGUGAACCACCUAGAGCCUACCUUAGGUGGCAGUUGACGUGGCUUAGCCACAUCAUUAAUCAUUAAAGUAUAAUUUUUGUCUUAAUUAUGAAAAUUUCUUUCAAUAAAAAAUAAUAAUGAAAAUUUCUUCUAAUGUUUUUACUUUCUUGAAUUUAUCUUUUAGAUCCUAUUUUUGUGGCUUUCUUAUCUAAUUUGUAGCUCUCACGUCCCCCUUCAAUUGAAUGAAAUCUUUUCAUUUUGAUCGAUUACGGUUUCUGGCAAUCAUAUUUAACAAAAGCUUUACCCGUUCUAAUCUUUUCAACAUGUGUAUUCCCUGUUUUCCAAUUACACUUGCUUCAAUCUUAGGCUUCUUCCUUUUCAUUAUUGAAGCUAGUUUUGGGAAGUGGAAUUGACAACCAAAUUUAAUAUGUUUCAAUCGUAAGUAUAAUCUAUGGAACAUUGAAG